AGCGAACGCUGGCGGCAGGCCUAACACAUGCAAGUCGAACGAACCUUUCGGGGUUAGUGGCGGACGGGUGAGGAACACGUGGGAACGUGCCUUUAGGUUCGGAAUAACUCAGGGAAACUUGUGCUAAUACCGAAUGGGCCCUUCGGGGGAAAGAUUAAUCGCCUUUAGAGCGGCCCGCGUCUGAUUAGCUAGUUGGUUGGGGUAAUGGCUCACCAAGGCGACGAUCAGUAGCUGGUCUGAGAGGAUGAUUAGCCACAUUGGGACUGAGACACGGCCCAAACUCCUACGCGAGGCAGCAGUGGGGAAUCUUGCGCAAUGGGCGAAAGCCUGACGCAGCCAUGCCGCGUGAAUGAUGAAGGUCUUAGGAUUGUAAAAUUCUUUCACCGGGGACGAUAAUGACGGUACCCGGAGAAGAAGCCCCGGCUAACUUCGUG
rnacentral:rRNA from 1 species